rnacentral:rRNA from 1 species
ACGCUCGACACCUACGGGAGACAGCAGUGGGGAAUAUUGCACAAUGGGGGAAACCCUGAUGCAGCGACGCCGCGUGAGCGAAGAAGUAUUUCGGUAUGUAAAGCUCUAUCAGCAGGGAAGAAACUGACGGUACCUGACUAAGAAGCACCGGCUAAAUACGUGCCGANCGCGCGGUAGUAUGNGNGGCGNGNGAGAG